rnacentral:tRNA from 1 species
UGGCUCAAUGGUAGAGCGUUCGACUCAAAUACCAAAGGUCGCGGGUUCGAAUCCCAC